UAAAUGGUGAACUUGGCAGCAAAACCCAUGUUCCCAGAAAGAACCAAAAUAUUCACUUCAAGUACAAAUAAAAUGAACAUUUGGAGGAGCCUACCAACAAAGAACUCAUCCUGCAUGCUCACAGACAUUUGGGACUGUUUUGAAUUGACUCUGGGAGCCAUGAUACAUCAAGAACAGAAUGGACGUCAUAUUCCUUAGUAAAAGUCUCAGAUAACCAUUCAGGUUCUGUGAUGCUGUGGGGUGUGCGACAUAAAUCCCUGUCCUCUGCUGGCACUCCUGCAACAAUGAAUUGGCUGCGCUUGAUUUGAUGACUUAAGAAGGAGAAAUAAUCAAGACAUUAUAACUAGGGCUUCCACUCAAUCAAGACUGCACAAUUUGAAGCUUACGUUGCAGUCAAUGCCAAUGGAAUUCUGCAUUGAUGUCAAAUGAUCACAGAAAAAGAAGAUCCUGCAA